GGGUUGUGAGGUUAAGCGACUAAGCGUACACGGUGGAUGCCCUGGCAGUCAGAGGCGAUGAAGGACGUGCUAAUCUGCGAUAAGCGUCGGUAAGGUGAUAUGAACCGUUAUAACCGGCGAUUUCCGAAUGGGGAAACCCAGUGUGAUUCGUCACACUAUCAUUAACUGAAUCCAUAGGUUAAUGAGGCGAACCGGGGGAACUGAAACAUCUAAGUACCCCGAGGAAAAGAAAUCAACCGAGAUUCCCCCAGUAGCGGCGAGCGAACGGGGAGCAGCCCAGAGCCUGAAUCAGUGUGUGUGUUAGUGGAAGCGUCUGGAAAGGCGCGCGAUACAGGGUGACAGCCCCGUACACAAAAAUGCACAUGCUGUGAGCUCGAUGAGUAGGGCGGGACACGUGGUAUCCUGUCUGAAUAUGGGGGGACCAUCCUCCAAGGCUAAAUACUCCUGACUGACCGAUAGUGAACCAGUACCGUGAGGGAAAGGCGAAAAGAACCCCGGCGAGGGGAGUGAAAAAGAACCUGAAACCGUGUACGUACAAGCAGUGGGAGCACAGAGCAAUCUGUGUGACUGCGUACCUUUUGUAUAAUGGGUCAGCGACUUAUAUUCUGUAGCAAGGUUAACCGAAUAGGGGAGCCGAAGGGAAACCGAGUCUUAACUGGGCGUUAAGUUGCAGGGUAUAGACCCGAAACCCGGUGAUCUAGCCAUGGGCAGGUUGAAGGUUGGGUAACACUAACUGGAGGACCGAACCGACUAAUGUUGAAAAAUUAGCGGAUGACUUGUGGCUGGGGGUGAAAGGCCAAUCAAACCGGGAGAUAGCUGGUUCUCCCCGAAAGCUAUUUAGGUAGCGCCUCGUGAAUUCAUCUCCGGGGGUAGAGCACUGUUUCGGCAAGGGGGUCAUCCCGACUUACCAACCCGAUGCAAACUGCGAAUACCGGAGAAUGUUAUCACGGGAGACACACGGCGGGUGCUAACGUCCGUCGUGAAGAGGGAAACAACCCAGACCG
rnacentral:rRNA from 1 species